rnacentral:sRNA from 1 species
UUAAUACCGGUAUACCUUCACUCACAUA